rnacentral:hammerhead_ribozyme from 1 species
GUAGUGCUGAAGAGUCCCAAACUAGGACGAAACAGCUGUCCAGUGC